rnacentral:rRNA from 1 species
AGUUUAUUUGAUGGUCUUUUUUACAUGGAUAACCAUGGUAAUUCUAUGGCUAAUACAUGCGCAAAAGCUACCUUCUCUGGAGGGGCUGUGUUUAUUAAAUACAAAACCAACCCACUUUUGUGGAGUCAUGGUGAUUCAUAGUAACCGAACGGAUCGCAGUUGGCUUUCGGGCCCGCGAUGGAUCAUUCAAGUUUCUGACCUAUCAGCUUUCGACGGUAGGGUAUUGGCCUACCGUGGCAGUGACGGGUAACGGGGAAUUAGGGUUCGAUUCCGGAAAGGGAGCCUGAGAAACGGCUACCACAUCUAAGGAAGGCAGCAGGCGCGCAAAUUACCCAAUGAAAACAGUUUCGAGGUAGUGACGAGAAAUAACAAUACAGGGCAUUUUAUGCUUUGUAAUUGGAAUGAUGGGAAUGUAAAACCCUUCCAAAGUAACAAUUGGAGGGCAAGUCUGGUGCCAGCAGCCGCGGUAAUUCCAGCUCCAAUAGUGUAUAUUAGAGUUGUUGCAGUUAAAAAGCUCGUAGUUGGAUUUCUGUCGUGGUCAGCCUGCGCUGCCCGUAUGGGUGUGCGCGUGGUUUGCCCUCGGCAUAUUUCUGGUAGCCUCUGGCGCUUUAUUGCGUUGGUAGGUGUUCUGGAACUUUUACUUUGAGAAAAAUAGAGUGUUUCAAGCAGGCUUGUCGCCCUGAAUACUGCAGCAUGGAAUAAUAAGAUAGGACCUCGGUUCUAUUUUGUUGGUUUCUAGGACCAAGGUAAUGAUUAAUAGGGACAGUUGGGGGCAUUCGUAUUUAACUGUCAGAGGUGAAUUCUUAGAUUUGUUAAAGACGAACUACUG